CGAAAUUGGUAGACGCUACGGACUUAAAAAAUCCGUCGACUUUAAAAAUCGUGAGGGUUCAAGUCCCUCUAUCCCCA
rnacentral:tRNA from 5 species